AUACGGAGGAUGCAAGCGUUAUCCGGAUUUAUUGGGUUUAAAGGGUGCGUAGGCGGAUGAUUAAGCGUGAGGUGAAAUGCCACUGCUCAACAGUGGAACUGCCUCGCGAACUGGUUGUCUUGAAUGCUCCUGCCGUGGGAGGAAUGUGUGGUGUAGCGGUGAAAUGCAUAGAGAUCACACAGAACACCGAUUGCGAAGGCAUCUCACGAAGGGGUGAUUGACGCUGAGGCACGAAAGCGUGGGGAUCAAACAGGAUUAGAUACCCUGGUAGUCCACGCAGUAAACGAUGAUAACUAACCGCUGGGUCGUAGUGAUUCAGUGGUCAAGCGAAAGCGAUAAGUUAUCCACCUGGGGAGUACGACCGCAAGGUUGAAACUCAAAUGAAUGGACGGGG
rnacentral:rRNA from 1 species